GAUGAACGCUGGCGGCGUGCCUAAUACAUGCAAGUCGAGCGAACGGGCGCGAAGCUUGCUUCUUUGAUGUUAGCGGCGGACGGGUGAGUCACACGUGUAUCACCUACCUAUAAGUCUGGGAUAACUUCGGGAAACCGGCGCUAAUCCCGGAUGAUAUUUUGAACCGCAUGGUUCAAAAGUGAAAGACGGUCUUGCUGUCACUUAUAGAUGGUUCUGCGCUGCAUUAGCUAGUUGGUAAGGUAACGGCUUACCAAGGCAACGAUGCAUGGCCGACCGUAUGGGGGGAACGGCCACUCAGGAGCUGAGCCACGGUACAGGCACCGAGGUGAGGCAGCGGGUGGGAAGGGACCGCACAGUGCGAAAGCCUGACGGAGCAACGCAGCGCUGGUGAAGAAACGCUGCGGGUCGGAAAACUCUCUUAGGAGUGAAGAACACAUGUGUAUGUGACGGUGCGCAACUUGACGGUACCGAUCAGAAAGCCACGGCUAACUACGUG
rnacentral:rRNA from 1 species